UGGGCAUCUGAGUAUAAGGAAGUACCGUAUUAACCUAUUUGUGCCUACUUAAACACAGCUCAUUUGUCUCAAGUAUUAUCUGUAAUAACACGAAUGCCUCUGCCUUUCAUGGAAGAAUAAAAAAUCAGAAAAUAUGAAAGUGUCGGUGAUUGUAGCCUGUAGUUUUGUUUUAAUCGGCAAUAACGUGUUCAGUCAGUAUAUAACAUGGGACAGUAACGAUGAGAAAGAUUUAUCUGCGUGUCCGUAUCAACUUGCCAUUGCUCAAAAGGAAUUACAGCGCGUGGAUAAGAAGAUUAAAGAUCUCAGUGAUCUAGUGGGGACGAGACAAAUUGGGGGACAUGGAGGACUACGGGGGCUACCUGGUUUACCCGGAGUUCCGGGAGAAAGAGGACCACCUGGCUUUGAUGGACUCCUAGGAAGACCUGGGGAACCCGGAGUCAGUGGGCUACCAGGACAACAAGGACCAAAGGGAGACAAAGGUGAACCUGGACGACCUGGACUCCCGGGACUAAUCGGAAGGAAAGGAGAGCCUGGAUUACCGGGAACAUAGUGGGAACUGUACAGUAUAUGGGGCUCUUAUCAGAACUUUAAGGGACUCACAUUAAAUAUCUUUCUUAACGCUCAACUGUUAUCGAACUGCUUUCAAAGGAAGGAGUAUGUUUUUGUCAUAUACUCUCCUAAAAUUUUUGAAAUCUUCAAACGUUUUAGAAGAAAUGGGUUCCUUAAAGAGGUUCGCACCUGACAUUUGGAGUAAUGUCAAUGUUUUGGGAAGUAUAUUUUUGAUUUCUACAUUGAAGGAGAAUUAGGAAAUUACAAAGACAAACUGGGGUCGCAACGCUUGUAAUUGAGCUACAGUGUUCUAAACAUGACCUUUUUGCACUUAAAAUUUAUUCAAUUAAACUUGAUUUUUCUGUUAGUGUCAACACAACAUAAGCAACACAAAUCAACCAAUACAUUAAAUAGAUGCAUAAUUAUGUCCUCUAACACUACAGAUGAAAAAAGAAAUUAAUACUAGUGUAACCGAGCAGAUAACCUACACAUAGUCGUAAAGAGUUAUCUUUCUUCCGAACGAGAACAAUGGGUGAAGCGAAAGGACUUGCACUUUCACGAAUGACACCAUUAACAAGUAGUUUCAGAAUGUGUUGCUUUACUUCUUCAAAUUGGGAUGGAGGGAUGCGACGGUAUUGUUGAGAUAUUGUCUUAUGAUCAACAAGUCGAAUGCGAUGUUGACUUGUGUUUGUACAUCCAAUAUCACAAACUAUUUAAACUGGGCUGAUCGCUGAUCGUGUUCGGAUUACUUGCUAGCAGAGUAGCGGGUCUUUUGUCCGUAGUCUCCUCCUCUUCGCUAAAAGUAUGAUUUCAUCUCGGAAUCUGUGAAAUUCUGUAGGGUUAUUCCGCAAUAGUCUCUUUGCUUCCUUCCUUAGAAACGGAUCACGAAGACCAUUAGCAAAUUGUUCUCAUAGGGUAAUGUUUUUGUUCGGAAACACACUACUGUUCUUUCUGAGCACAAUUUGGUAGAGAUCCAGUAAUUCGUAUGAAUAGUGUCUGAUUGUUUCUGAAUGUUCCUGGUUUCGUUCAAAAAACCUCUGCUGCAGAGUUGUAACGGAUUCCGGAGUUCAAAAUGCCGAUUUCAAACAAUCUAAUAUAGCGUAUGGUGAAUGACGAAUUUCUGGACAAAACUUCACUUCUUCUUUGACCUGGCCCUCUAGAUGUGAAUAAAUCAAGUCAACCUUCUGUGAAUCUGUGUAUUUUCUAGCUGAGAAAGUAAUUUCAAGUUCAUCAAUCCAAUCAUCAAUAGAUAAGUCAGAUUUUGAUACGGGGUGUCCAGAAAAUGUCUUAAUUUUUCUAGUUUCGGGAAGAAAAACUUGUUUCUCAAUUACAGUUUUUGAAUUGUGUUUCGCCUCUAACAAUUCCAUUUCCAAUUCGCGAACUCUUUGUUGUAGAUCAGCUUUCUUCGUGUUGAAAACACAGGUAACAACGGUACAACAAGUACUCACUAUGGAAUCUAUUCACUGUCACCGCACAAGCAUCGGACUUUUAAAUGCCAUGUAACGUCGGUAGGAGAAAUACUCACAGUGGCUUUACAGAUUCCUAGGGUUGAUGGUUCACAAAAGAUAUUAGCUCCAUUUCCUGCUAUCUUUGGAAAUAAAUUUCGGGGUAUUCAAUGCCCAGAUAUGAUGGGUUUUUUUCUUCUCGCAGUGCCAUAUUGUAACCGAGCAGCAAGGGGAAUCUUGAUUCGGCUUUAUGUUGUUUAUUUUUGUAGAAAUAUACAAGUAUAAGAAUAAGACAAUGACCACAAGAUGCACCCGAUGAAAGCUGGACAGCUAGAUCUUCGGAGGAAAAUGUACACUGCUUUGAUUUACUCAGUCUUAACGGUAACUCUCAAGCAAUCAGGUUCUUUCUGUGUAUUUGAUAAGGACAAUGUUUACUUUAUUCUUCUGAUGUACAUGAAUAUCCAUUUAAUGAAGAUCAUAGGAUACACGAGAUUUUGGACACAACAAAUGAAGUAGGAUUUACAUAACACUCGGAAAAAGUUUUAUCUGAAAACGAAAGCAAAAAUGAAUUCUAAGUAUUAAAAAAAAAUCCAGAUUCCAAAAACAUACUGAUUGAAAUAUUCAUAGCUUGAUCUAGUAUCCAAUGCAGAAUAUUCAACGUGGAUAACAUCUUCAGAUGUUAACAUUACAAGUGACUUGGGACGAUGAGGAAAACCUAAGUCACCCUAAUAAUCUUUUUUUUUCAAAUGUAAUCAACAUUAAAAUAAAGUCAAAUCGCUCGACUGUCGAUAAGGAUCCAGAUUUACACAAGGAUAUCCUUGACGACAAGUUGACGUUGUGUACGCAGGUCCAGCAUACUCGCUUUGUAAAUGGAAAGAAUAACUUAAAUGACUCAACAUACCUUCAAUUGUUAAUAAUGAAUUUCACUUGAUUUCUACUCGGUAAAAAUAUUUAAUUUUGUGCUGAAGAGUCGUACGUGUAAGCAUGUAGUUUUCCUCAAUUUUGCUUAUGUUGAACAACAUGGUAGUGGCUGGGUACUUGCUUAAGAACAAUCAACUCCAUAUACAGUAACUUUAGUCCGGACAACUGAUACUUGUUCUGCGGUACACCAAAGAUACGCACGAUGCUAUGUUGGUGCUACUUGCAUUUCAAUAUUUGUUGAACAAAUGUUUUACAACUUGUCCAAAUAUCAUUCACAUUCUACAUUCGACAGUAAGUUCAUUCCGGACAACUGAUAUUUUGUUCUGUGAUACGUUUCUAAGUACACCAAAGAUACGCACGAUGUUAUGUGGUGGUACUUUUAUUUUAAUAUUUGUUGUAUGAAUGUAACCUUUACGAUUUGUCCAACUCUAUCAUUCACGAUCCCUAGACCUUGGUAUCUAACAAUGGUUACAUGAAUUCGGACUUUGAAAUCAAAAUGUAAUAAAUGAUGAUGAACAUUAUAUUAUCAUGACACAAAAUAAAAUGAAUAAAAUAUUUAUUAAUGAACAGAAUUAAAUUCCUUAGAAUAUCAUGAAUAUAUGGCAGUAAUUAUGUCGUAAUAUCUUAGGGGACAAGAAGAUAUGCAGCUUCAUAGAAAAGUAUUUCGAAAGCGGUUUGGUGACCUCGUGGAGCUGGAAUUCAUCUCGAACAGUCCUAUGCGCCAAAGAUACAAUUAUUCGAGCAUGCCUAAUGUUAAUUAGCAAAAUUCGGGAGAAAUAAUUGCUACAGCUAGAGGCGGAACUGGGUAUCCAAAUAAAAUAAAGUGAAAUUGUCUGUGCUUUAUACUAACUAUUCUUCACUUAGGGCAGUUGUGUUUAUUUAAGAGUUCAUGGCUAUGUCGGUGCUUUAUAUACAUACUUACGUCAACAUCCCAAAGUUAUGUAGCAAUAUUCUAAUAUCACUUGCAUAUUGUGUUUAUGUCUCGGACUAAUUCGAUUUGUGAGUAUGUGAUCUGCGUAUGAUAAAAUUUCAAUUCGAGGCGGGCUGUAAGGGAAGACGUCGGAUAUUUCAGGGUUCCAAUAGUUCCGUUUAAGGAUGGAGACUUGUCAGCGUUUUUUAACGUAAGAGGGUCUCCAUAGUUUGAGUGACGUAAAAUUUCUGUUGUUAGUUUUUGGAGAAUAAACAAUAAAUGAUUUUAUUGAAAUAGAAAUAGCAAUUUUGUAUUAUUUCCUAGCAGAAUUCAUUGAAUUUUCAAUGCUUCGAUAAACGCACGAAAAAACUUACGACAACCAUCUUAGCUCUUGCGAACGUGGGAGAAAAGCAUUGUUCUUUUACAGCAUGAUUAUGCAAUUUCCUGAGUUUUCCUCCGAUAAAGACAUCAACAGCAUCGCUACACACCUGGCACCGACAGACGACGCGACAUGUCAAAUGACAAUAAUACUGUCACACACGAAGAAAAUGAAGCAAUCAACAGUACUGAUGGAGAUGAAAGAAGGAGAACAUUUCAAGUGUGAGAUUGCAUUUGAGGAGAUUGAUAUGACAAUAGUACAUGCACCAGAGCCAACUGUCAAACAGCACUCCAGCCAGCAACAUAUUCCUCUUGUAUUCUUUGACUUGGAAUCAAAAGGACUGGCUAGAAAUUCUCAUAUUACACAGCUGCCAUGUGUGGUGAAGAAAAGUUUCCCAUCUAUACCUUUCUAAAAAUACCUAUAACAGCAAAAGACUCAGAAAUAACAGAAAUCGAAAAUGUUAAUGGAAAUAUGUUUAGCAAAAAUUAAAAAUGUAGAAGUCAAUCCUUGGAAAAUGGAUGCUCCUCUUGAUUUUGUUUCAAAAUUUCAAACUAAAGUAAUUCUGCAUUUAUAAUAGCAAUGUAUGAAUGUUAACAAAUAUGAAUGUUUAUUGUAUACUAUACUCAAUUUAACAUGUUCUGUUUAUGAGAGAGAGAGAGAGAGAGAGAGAGAGAGAGAGAGAGAGAGAGAGAGAGAGAUUAUUGCAAGAAUUGGAUAGUAACUGCAAAAAUUAUGUGCAAGCUGCACCAGUAAUGAUGUACACGGUGGUGAUAUUGUUCUCUGAAUUUUGAUAUAAAUUAAUGUACAUGUACCAAAUGAAAUUAUUCUAUUAAAUUUCCAUUUCAAAUGAAAAUGAGUCAAUUUCAA